CACGUAGGGCGCGAGCGUUGUCCGGAAUUAUUGGGCGUAAAGAGCUCGUAGGCGGCCUGUUGCGUCCGCUGUGAAAGCCCGGGGCUUAACCCCGGGUCUGCAGUGGAUACGGGCAGGCUAGAGGUAGGUAGGGGAGAAUGGAAUUCCCGGUGUAGCGGUGAAAUGCGCAGAUAUCAGGAGGAACACCGAUGGCGAAGGCAGGUCUCUGGGCCAUUACUGACGCUGAGGAGCGAAAGCGUGGGGAGCGAACAGG
rnacentral:rRNA from 1 species